AACGGAUGCACCGUCAUCAGAAGUUAACUGUUGCACAUCUACAAAGUCUUCCUCCAAUUAUCCCUUCCUCCUCUGCUGUCUAGCUGGGUUGCCAGUCUGUUUCCUAAUAUAUUCUCUACUCCUCCAAGGUUAUCUGGACCAGAUGCAAUCUCACUGAUGGAACACUGGUAUACAAGCAGCUCUCUGAAAAAAACAUGAGGAGGGAGGCUCAACUGGAACCCAAGCAAGAACCACAAUGAGGGAAGGAAGCUCUGUCUGAGUUAUAGACAAUGGUUGGUUUUCUGGAGUCUUGCAUUGUCUGCAGUUAAAAGGAGGAAAUUAACUAUAUAAUUACUACAGACCAUGCCACUGAACCACCACAUUUUGCAGAUAUGAUCAUGGCUGCACAAAGCAACUUGGAUGAAAGCUGGCGACAGAUUGAUCCUGAAAUCAAGGAUGAUUGAUCCAAUGAAUCCUAAGGCAAAAGCCAUCCUGAAGAUCCAGGAGCCCACCAGAUCACAGCCAGAAGGUCCACAUGAAUCACAAAUGGAGACCCAAAUGUGGAAGGAAACAAUUUCUGGCCACAGUCCAAGGAGGCAAGAAUGCAUUGAUGAGGUGAACCGGCAUCUCUGAUGGUGGUGCCUCAAAGAAGGCUUUGUCUUCUACGACUACAGUGCCCACUUCAA